AACGAAUAACUAUGGUGUCUUGGUUGUCGCUGGCUCCUCGGAGCAUUGUGCACGCCCGCCAUUUUUAUCUAUCCACCUGUGCACCGAAUGUAGGUCUGGAUGACUCUCGCCUUCGGGCGGAUGCGAGGUUUGCGUGCGAGCGCUCUCCUCGAAUUUCCAGGCUCUACGUCUCUUUACACACCCCAAACGUAUGAUGCAGAAUGUAGUCAAUGGGCCUUUACGAGCCUAUAAAACACUAUACAACUUUCAGCAACGGAUCUCUUGGCUCUCGCAUCCAUGAAGAACGCACGGAAAUGCGAUAAGUAAUGUGAAUUGCAGAAUUCAGUGAAUCAUCGAAUCUUUGAACGCACCUUGCGCUCCUUGGUAUUCCGAGGAGCAUGCCUGUUUGAGUGUCAUUAAAUUCUCAACCUCACCGGUUUUCUGAACCGUUCUCCGAGGCUUGGAUGUGGGGGUCUGUGCAGGUCGCCUCAGCGCGGUCUGCUCCCCUGAAAUGCAUUAGCGAGAUUCAUUCUGGACCUCCGUCUAUCGGUGUGAUAAUUAUCUACGUCGUUGACUUGGUUCGGACUCGCUUCUAACCGUCCGCGAGGACAACAUACUUGACAAUUUGACCUCAAAUCAGGUAGGACUACCCGCUGAACUUAAGCAUAUCAAUAAGCGGAGGAAAAGAAACUAACAAGGAUUCCCCUAGUAACUGCGAGUGAAGCGGGAAAAGCUCAAAUUUAAAAUCUGGCGGCCUUGGCGUCCGAGUUGUAAUCUAGAGAAGUGUUACCCGCGCGGACCGUGUACAAGUUCUCCUGGAAUGGAGCGUCAUAGAGGGUGAGAAUCCCGUCUUUGACAC
rnacentral:rRNA from 1 species